rnacentral:lncRNA from 1 species
AUUAAGACGAACAUAUCAAGGAUUAACUCCCUGGGGAAACAAAAUAGGGAUUACAACUACCUUUUUACUGGGUAGAAUGUAAGAACAAAAGUAGUUAUACAAUAGAAUUCCAGGAUUUUGAUGAUAACAAAGGAUGAAACCAAAAAUGGCACCCUAACGAAAAUUCUGUGUGCAGGACUCUGAACAACAACAAAGGAAUCUAAUCGGUUUAUCAGAUACAAACUCUGAUUAGAUAGAAAGUAUUAGAAGAUCAGAAGCAUCUGAAGAAGAAGUGCGCUCCAG